UGUCUAGGGGCUCAAACCUAAAGAACCCAAAUAUCUAAACGGAGAAAUUCAAUACUACCUUCAAACGUAGUGUGCACUUUUCUCUUAGUAAGACGCCGUGAUCCAUUAGAAAUUGAUACAUACAAAAUGUAUAUUGGGUCAUCAAUAGGCCAAUAUGAAGUUUAUUGGAACAAAUGACUAUGAUCAUUCACGGUCGUGUGUAUUGUCUGGUAAGCAUAUUGUGUAUCCUGUAAUGACUGUCUGAUGGAUUUUAAAGAUUGAUUUUCAAUGAUGUCAUUUAUGGCAUCACUCAUAUUUAUUUAUGAGAGAAUAAAAUAUGUCUGAUCAACGGCGGUUAAAUUUGGGAUACCUUUUGGACCCGUCUUGAAACACGGACCAAGGAGUCUAUCUAGUAUGCGAGUAAAUGGAUAGUUUAUGAAAUCUAUUUGCGUAAUAAACUUGACUGUUUUCAAUGGGAAUACGAGAUUCAUCAGUAUAUGUGUAUCUCUUCCAUCCCGGGGUAUUUUCAUCAACAUAUACUUUAUUGUAUAUGGAAAAUAUACCAUGAGCACACUGGAUACGACCCGAAAGAUGGUGAACUAUGCCUGAUCAGGUCGAAGUCAGGGGAAACCCUGAUGGAGGACCGAAGCAGUUCUGACGUGCAAAUCGAUUGUCAGAAUUGGGCAUAGGGGCGAAAGACCAAUCGAACCAUC
rnacentral:rRNA from 1 species